rnacentral:lncRNA from 1 species
ACCCGGUCCGCAGGGCACCUUCCUCCUCUCUCUCAGGCACGUCCUCGACCUCAGUUGCCACGUGCACAUGCUGGUGCCUUCCAGACACACAGAAUCUGCAUCACCCAGGAACUUGUAACCAUGCAAAUUCUCAGCCACCCAGACUUCCUGCAUCAGAAACUCUGGGGCCCAGCAGCCUGUGUUUUAACAAAGCCCUUCAGGCUGGAGUAUAGUGGCAUGAUCAUAGAUCACUGCAGCCUCAAACUCCUGGGCUCAAGCGAUCCUCCCACCUCAGCCUCCAUAUAGCUGGUGGGGACCAAGUUUCUAACACAUGAAUGUUGGGAGACACAUUCAGACCAUCGCAGUGGCCUUAUAAAAAGAGACACAAGAGCUUGCUCUCUGCCAUGUGAGAAUACCACAAGAAGACUGUCCUCAGCAAAUCAGAAAGCGGGUGGACCCUCAUCAGACACCAGAUGUGCCUGCACCUUGAUCUUGGACUUGCCAGCCUUCAGAACAGUAAGAAAGAAAUGUGUGUUGUUUAAGCCACCCAGUCUAUGGUAACUUGCUAUAGCAGCCCACUAGGAGACCCCAAGAUAUUUAAAAACUCAUCAGCACCUGCUUUCUGCAUCUGGACCCUGAUCUUCUGGUGGGUUUACCAGUUACUUGUAGAGUGUCCCUGUGAUAGUUUUAGGUGUCAACUUGACAGGAUUGAGGGAUGCCUAGAUGGCUGGGGAAGCACUGUUUCUGAGAAGGACCAUGUUUUUGGAGGAGACUGUUUUAUGAGUGAAUUUCAGGGGACACAUUCAGAUCAUGGCAGUGGCAUUAUAAAGAGAGACACAAAAGCUUGCUCUCUCUCUCUGCCAUGUAAGACUACCACACAAAGACUGCCAUCUGCAAACCAGAAGCAGGUGGGCUUUCCUCAGACACCAGAUCUGCCUGCACCUUGAUCUUGGACUUGCCAGCCUUCAGAACUCUAAGAAAGAAAUGGUAGCAUGGCUUGGUCUAAGUUGGAAGGCCUGAGAAACAAGCACAUGGUGGAACUGAGUUCAAGGAUAAAGACUUGAGAAUACCUGCUCAGUGGACUGAGUAGGGAAGAUCAACCCUCAAUGUAGGCAGGCACUAUCCAAUCACCUGAGGGCCCAGAUGGAACAAAAAGGUGGAAGAAGGGUGAAUUCUCUCUUCCAGAGCUGUGACACCCUUCUCAUGCCCUUGUACCACACAACUCUAGGUCCUUUGGCCUUUGGACUCUGACACUUGCACCAGUGGCCCUCUGGGGCUCUCAAGCCUUUAGCCUUGAACUUAGUUACACCAUGUGCCUCCUUGUUUCUCAGGCCUUCCAACUUGGAUCAGGCCAUGCCACCGGCUUCUCUGAUUCUCCAGCUUGCAGAUGGUAUAUUGUGACCCUGGCAUUUAAUAACUAUGACUUUGGUCUUAAGCAAUUUUCUUCCUCUGUGGAUUGAUAUUUACAUAUCAAUGUGGAUAAUAAUUUCUUACCACGGUAACUGUUGUGAGGUAAAAAUGAGUUAACAUAAGUAAAACCGAGCACAUGCAAACCAUCCGAAAUGGUUAAUACUUACUAUUUGUACUUGAAGAAAUAAAUGUUUUUGACAAUAAA